rnacentral:rRNA from 1 species
CAGUCGCCGCGGUAAUACGUAGGGUGCAAGCGUUAAUCGGAAUUACUGGGCGUAAAGCGUGCGUAGGCGGUUUGUUAAGACAGAUGUGGAAUCCCCGGGCUCAACCUGGGAACUGCAUUUGUGACUGGCAAGCUAGAGUGUGGCAGAGGGGGGUGGAAUUCCGCGUGUAGCAGUGAAAUGCGUAGAUAUGCGGAGGAACACCGAUGGCGAAGGCAGCCCCCUGGGCCAACACUGACGCUCAUGCACGAAAGCGUGGGGAGCAAACAGGAUUAGAUACCCCUGUAGUCCCUGUCUCUUAUAC